UUAUGCCAAACUUUAUGUGUAACUACUACUGCUUAUCUCUGUUCACAUUAAAAUUAUGAAAGUUUCUAUUCCAAAAUUUAUAUUUCAGUUGGUUUCUGAACUUUUGUCUAUUGCUUGGAUAUCCGUUGUUCGUUGAUACUGUGCCAAACUUUAUUUAAGUUAGUAUGUGUUUUUUUGUUGGAAUUCACUUAUCAAGUUAGAUUUACAAUACACCAAUGGACUACAUAUAACGUUAUCUACAUCUAUUCCAAGUCUCGAACCUCGAAAAUACUAUCUCAUCAUACUAAUCCAUCUAUCUCUUGAAUAUUUUCUAAAUAAAUUUAUCCAUUGAAUUCCAAAUAUUAAAUAAUUAAACUAAAAAUCAUGUCUACUUCUUUUCUAUUUUUUCUUUUAAUUUAUGGAUGUACCUUCUUUCAUUCGUUGAUAAUUAUUUUAUUAAGAGUAAAAUGGAAAAUUUAAAGUUAAAUAUUUUUGUAACUCAUAAAAUAAAUGUAUAUAAUUAUAAAUAAUAUUUAUUUAAUAUUUUUAUUAUGAUUGAGAUAGUUUGGGAAUAACGUGCAACUACACGUUAAUAGAGACUAGUUAUUAUAAAAGCAUGAAUAUAAAUGUUGAUUGACCAAAAUAUCAUUUAAAUAUUGAACGACUUUUGUAUCUUUAUAAGUUGAAAUCUUCUCUAAAAAGUUCAUUUCAUAUUGGAUAAAAUUGUAAUAUUAAUUAUUUCCUAAUAUCUCUCAACUGUUAUUGUUGAAGUUACCAUUGUUGAACCCUUCAAGCUUUUGAAAAAUUCUUGGAAUUGGGUGUGCUUUCUACGUUCAUUGGCUUGGGCAUUACUAAUUAGAGCUAUUUUUUGGUUAUUCUUUUAUCAGAUAAGCGAUAAAUCUUUUUGUGCACGGACUUUGUGAGGAUCGGUUCUGCGGAUUUACCUUUCUGCUUAUCUCACACAGAAGCAUACUAAAAGUCCACCCUGAAAAGUCAACUCUUUAAGAGAUCCUGGAGGGACGAGAUGCAAAGAAGCUUCAUUACUGAGCUUGCAUUCAGGGAGAUGUGGUUGCUGGCUGACUUGUUUUUAGUAGGUUGGAGUAUUCGGCAUCAAGAAGUUAUACUGAUGUGAGCAAGGCUGACCAAAACUCUCCUCAAAAAUUACAAAUACCAAAUGGUCCAACAACACGAGCUCAAGCUAGAAAGUUUCAAGAAGAGAUACAAGGCUUGGAAAUAAGCUCGUGGGACAAGGAAUAGAAGCCCACAAAGCAGAUCUGCAGAAGGACCUGAAGAUAGUCCACAUGACAUUGAUAUUCCCAAGAUUGAGAGGCUAUUUUUGGGCCUUUCGGGCAUACUGAAAAGACCAGCUACUUAUUAAUUAUUUUCAGCUUAUUUAGUUAAUGGGCAAAAGCCCAUCUGAACCUUGUAUUUUCCUAGCUUUAUAUAGCUCAUUUUAGAGGUUGUAAAUGCUAGUUUAUAUUAAUCUUUGAAGACUCUUUGUGAGAGGUUUUGGGAUAGAUCCCUAUAU